GAUCCGGAGAAGCUCGGGUCGGAGCGGCUCCUCAAGAGUUACUGAUCUAUGAAAUGGCAGAGAAUGGAAAAAAUUGUGACCAGAGACGUGUAGCAAUGAACAAGGAACAACAUAAUGGAAAUUUCACAGACCUCUCUUCAGUGAAUGAAAAGAAGAGGAGGGAGCAGGAAGAAAGGCAGAAUAUUGUCCUGUAGAGACAGCCACUCAUUACCUUGCAGUAUUUUUCUCUGGAAAUCCUUGUAAUCUUGAAGGAAUGGACCUCAAAAUUAUGGCAUCGUCAAAGCAUUGUGGUGUCUUUUUUACUGCUGCUUGCUGUGCUUAUAGCUACGUAUUAUGUUGAAGGAGCGCAUCAACAGUAUGUGCAACGUAUAGAGAAACGGUUUCUUUUGAAUGCCUACUGGAUAGGCCUAGGAAUUUUGUCUUCUGUUGGGCUUGGAACAGGGCUGCACACCUUUCUGCUUUAUCUGGGUCCACAUAUAGCCUCAGUUACAUUAGCUGCUUAUGAAUGCAAUUCAGUUAAUUUUCCUGAACCACCCUAUCCUGAUUAGAUUAUUUGUCCAGAUGAAGGGGGCACUGAAGGAACCAUUUCUUUGUGGAGUAUCAUCUCAAAAGUUAGGAUUGAGGCCUGCAUGUGGGGUAUAGGUACAGCAAUCGGAGAGCUGCCUCCGUAUUUCAUGGCCAGAGCAGCUCGCCUCUCAGGUGCUGAACCAGAUGAUGAAGAGUAUCAGGAAUUUGAAAAGAUGCUGGAACAUGCAGAGUCUGCACAAGACUUUGCCUCCCGGGCCAAACUGGCAGUUCAAAAACUAGUACAGAAAGUUGGAUUUUUUGGAAUUUUGGCCUGUGCUUCAAUUCCAAAUCCUUUAUUUGAUCUGGCUGGAAUAACAUGUUGACACUUUCUGGUACCUUUUCGGACCGUCUUUGGUGCAACCCUAAUUGGAAAAGCAAUAAUAAAAAUGCAUAUCCAGAAAAUUUUUGUUAUAAUAACAUUCAGCAAGCACAUAGUGGAGCAAAUGGUGGCUUUCAUUGGUGCUGUCCCCGGCAUAGGUCCAUCUCUGCAGAAGCCAUUUCAGGAGUACCUGGAGGCUCAACGGCAGAAGCUUCACCACAAAAGCGAAAUGGGCACACCACAGGGAGAAAACUGGUUGUCCUGGAUGUUUGAAAAGUUGGUCGUUGUCAUGGUGUGUUACUUCAUCCUGUCUAUCAUUAACUCCAUGGCACAAAGUUAUGCCAAACGCAUCCAGCAGCGGUUGAACUCAGAGGAGAAAACUAAAUAAGUAGAGAAAGUUUUAAACUGCAGAAAUUGGAGUGGAUGGGUUCUGCCUUAAAUUGGGAGGACUCCAAGCCAGGAAGGAAAAUUCCCUUUUCCAACCUGUAUCAAUUUUUACAACUUUUUUCCUGAAAGCAGUUUAGUCCGUACUUUGCACUGACAUACUCUUUCCUUCUGUGCUAAGGUAAGGUAUCCACCCCCGAUCCAAUCCACCGUGUGUUUUCUUAGGAUGGAAUCUGAUGUUCAGCAGCGAACUUGCAACAGACUGGCCUUCUGUUUGUUACUUUCAAAAGGCCCACAUGAUACAAUUAGAGAAUUCCCACCACACAAAAAAAGUUCCUAAGUAUGUUAAACAUGUCAAGCUUUUUAGGCUUGUCACAAAUGAUUGCUUUGUUUUCCUAAGUCAUCAAAAUGUAUAUAAAUUAUCUAGAUUGGAUAACAGUCUUGCAUGUUUAUCAUGUUACAAUUUAAUAUUCCAUCCUGCCCAACGCUUCCUCUCCCACCCUCAAAAAAGGGCCAUUUUAUGAUGCAUUGCACACCCUCUGGGGAAAUUGAUCUUUAAAUUUUGAGACAGUAUAAGGAAAAUCUGGUUGGUGUCUUACAAGUGAGCUGACACCAUUUUUUAUUCUGUGUAUUUAGAAUGAAGUCAAAAAAAACUUUAUAAAGACAUCUUUAAUCAUUC